UGGGACCUUUCGAUUUGUAGAGGAGAGCCC
rnacentral:piRNA from 1 species